UGCAGUCGAACGCUUCUUUUUCCACCGGAGCUUGCUCCACCGGAAAAAGAGGAGUGGCGAACGGGUGAGUAACACGUGGGUAACCUGCCCAUCAGAAGGGGAUAACACUUGGAAACAGGUGCUAAUACCGUAUAACAAUCAAAACCGCAUGGUUUUGAUUUGAAAGGCGCUUUCGGGUGUCGCUGAUGGAUGGACCCGCGGUGCAUUAGCUAGUUGGUGAGGUAACGGCUCACCAAGGCCACGAUGCAUAGCCGACCUGAGAGGGUGAUCGGCCACAUUGGGACUGAGACACGGCCCAAACUCCUACGGGAGGCAGCAGUAGGGAAUCUUCGGCAAUGGACGAAAGUCUGACCGAGCAACGCCGCGUGAGUGAAGAAGGUUUUCGGAUCGUAAAACUCUGUUGUUAGAGAAGAACAAGGAUGAGAGUAACUGUUCAUCCCUUGACGGUAUCUAACCAGAAAGCCACGGCUAACUACGUGCCAGCAGCCGCGGUAAUACGUAGGUGGCAAGCGUUGUCCGGAUUUAUUGGGCGUAAAGCGAGCGCAGGCGGUUUCUUAAGUCUGAUGUGAAAGCCCCCGGCUCAACCGGGGAGGGUCAUUGGAAACUGGGAGACUUGAGUGCAGAAGAGGAGAGUGGAAUUCCAUGUGUAGCGGUGAAAUGCGUAGAUAUAUGGAGGAACACCAGUGGCGAAGGCGGCUCUCUGGUCUGUAACUGACGCUGAGGCUCGAAAGCGUGGGGAGCAAACAGGAUUAGAUACCCUGGUAGUCCACGCCGUAAACGAUGAGUGCUAAGUGUUGGAGGGUUUCCGCCCUUCAGUGCUGCAGCUAACGCAUUAAGCACUCCGCCUGGGGAGUACGACCGCAAGGUUGAAACUCAAAGGAAUUGACGGGGGCCCGCACAAGCGGUGGAGCAUGUGGUUUAAUUCGAAGCAACGCGAAGAACCUUACCAGGUCUUGACAUCCUUUGACCACUCUAGAGAUAGAGCUUCCCCUUCGGGGC
rnacentral:rRNA from 1 species